CGCGUUGGAACCUUUGAAGUUUUUGAAGCCGCGCAUGUCGCCUCGCGCAUACCGGAAAUUGCCCGCUCUAAUUACUCGCAGCCAGUAAAGCCAGUCAAUUUAUUAGAGAUUUGUAUUGCAGAAUGGCCAUUUGGCUGAAUAAAUCGACUAUUUUUCGCAAACGAACGAUUCAAAUUACAAACCACGGCUGCUGGUUGUAAUUUGAAGGUUAGUGAAUACAUUUCUGUUGGUUAUGAGCUGUUAAAGAAUUGCUAAAUGCGAAAUUUAAACGUAUUAAUACA